rnacentral:lncRNA from 1 species
UUUAAAGAAUUUAAAAUAUCAAAAUUUAAAUAUAGAAUUUAAAAUUAUAAACUUUAAUUUUGAGAUUACGAAUUAUAAAUUUUAAAAAUUUUAAUUUUAAAUUUUAAAUUUAAAAAAUAAAAAUAGUAGUGGAAUAACUGUUCCCACCUUAGCGUGUUAUCCAGAAAUAAUAAUUUAAUAUUAAUUAGAUUAGUUAAUAAUUUAAAUAUAUUAAUUAAAUUAAUUAAUGAUUUAAAAUUAUUAAUUAGAGUUUAAUUAAUCUUAUUCUCGGUUGUUCUAGGAAUAAGGGUGGAACAGUAAUUUCAGACUUAUAUCGAGUUAUACUAAUUUAUUCCACAUAUUCGAGAAUUACUAUUCUCGAGUACGAAAACUAACAUUUUUUAUGGAUAAAAAGGGGGAUACUAGGUUGUUCCCCGUUUAUUCCCGAGCCGAACGGAGGUGUUUAAAACUUAGUUUGGUAUUGAGAUGGAUCUAACGCUAUUAGAUAGAAUGGAGUUUUCUGAUGGAACCGCAGAAAAUAUAUCGUAACCGACUAUAAAUGUAAUAUGUGGAACACAAUAUUACGUACGAAAAUAAAUAGAAUAUUUUUCUAUCAUCAUUUUUCACCGCAUGCAACGUAAUUUUCCCGCAAUUCUAAACGAAGUCUAAAUCCACAUCCGUAAUCCUGACAACAGCACCG